AAGAAACCAUGGAUGCCGCAUCCUGCAGGAGAGCUUGCUAUCCGCACACUUCAAAACCAUUAAUCUCCGAUGGUAUGGGGUGCAUUAGUUCCUAUGGGAUGGACAGCUUCCACAUUAGAAAAGUCAACAUCAAUGAUGAAAAGCACCACUUGAACCUAAAGAAAGUGUGGAAGGGAUGCUGCGUGUUAUUGGCAGCCUUACUGAGCAGCAGCACGGUGGAUUCAUGGACUACACUGGAAAAACAAUUCCUUGGUGAACCAAAACAAAAUCACUCCUAUAUGAGAGGAUUCAAAAGGGCCAAUCCAGGUCCAAACUGCCCUGUUUAGUCUAUUAAGCAUAAAAGGCCACACUUAAUCAAGCACUGGAGCCCACAAGUUUAUUACAUACACAAUGACUUUGUAUCAAAUAUAAUUUCAUACAAUAAAACAAUUAAUGAAGCAA